rnacentral:tRNA from 1 species
GCCCGGCUAGCUCAGUCGGUAGAGCACGAAACUCUUAAUCUCGGGUUCUGGGUUCGAGACUCACGUUGGGCG